CACGUAGGGCGCAAGCGUUGUCCGGAAUUAUUGGGCGUAAAGAGCUCGUAGGUGGUUUGUUACGUCUGCUGUGAAAACCUAGGGCUUAACCCUGGGCUUGCAGUGGAUACGGGCAGACUAGAGGUAGGUAGGGGAGAAUGGAAUUCCUGGUGUAGCGGUGAAAUGUGUAGAGAUCGGGAGGAACACCGGUGGCGAAGGCGGGUCUCUGGGCAAUUCCUGACGCUGAGGCGCGAAAGCGUGGGGAGCAAACGGG
rnacentral:rRNA from 1 species